AAGGGCGGCCGAGGGGACCUGGAGUCGGGGCUAGGAGGCCCGCGGGACGACCGGAGGCAGAGCGCCCCUUCCGGAGGGAAGUUGGUCCCCUUAACGUAGAAGAACCCGGGGGUGGGGACAGGCGAGGGCCAAGCCUCCCUGAGUCUGAUCACGUGGAUCUCUCGUGUUUGUACUUGUAACUGCAGGAUUUGAAGGGAGGGGGAAAGGGCCAGCGUCUCUGGUGCUUUCGUUUUGUCUCAGACCUCCUUUUUCCACGUAGAUGUGGAAACUUCGGUACGUUCUUCCCUCAGAGGCAAGUGAUUUUGGAGGAGAAAGGGUGCCCACGUUCGUUCAUUCCUUUCUUUCUUUGAAACACGUAAAAUAACAUUUACCGCCCUCUCCAUUUUUUUUUUAAAUCUUCAAGCGUUGUUUUUCCCUCCUUUCUACUCCCUGUCUUCUUUAUCAAAUUGUUUACGCCCUUGGGGCCCUCUCUCAGAUCCUUAUGCGAUUUACUAGGCAUCUGCUGUGAAGUUUCUUAUGGAAAUAUUAAUUAUUAAAAAGCACGAUUUUUUGACGGUCACUACUCCUGAAAAUCCGUUGAGUGUGCCUAAAUAUUCGCAGCCAGUCAGAUUUCACUUUUUUUUUUUUAACAUUUAUUGGUGGCAUAAUACAUAUGCUUCUGAUGACUGUUACUGAUCUGAAGAAGUACUAUAGAGUAUUAAAUUUUGAAAAAUUUAAAUUCUGACUGAUUUUUUUUUACAAGAUUUAUGUUUUUGAGCCUCUUAUUAUUUUUUAAUGGUUAGACUAGAUGACUAUCAAUUGCCUUUAUGGGCAAAUUCUUUCUAGGUAUUUCUGGUAUAAAAACCAAGAAAGUGUAAAUAUGUCAAUUACACUUGGUACUUUUAUUAACAAUUUCAUUUAGUAUUUGCUUAACAUAGACCAUGACUUUUGUUUUAAUGUGAUGGCAUUAAAAAAAGAAACAAAUGAAUCUAUAUGAUAAAAACUUAAAAUGUAGGUGUUCAGAGCUACUUGGAAGAAUGAACUCAUACAGCGUCCCUGUAAUUUCUUUGGAAGUUUUCAGUACCGAUAGAUUGUAGAGUCCUUUAGGAUCCAAAGAAGGAUUUACCAUAAAUAUGAGCAUGUAUUUUUUCAGUGUACAAUUUUUAAAAAAAAUUUUUUACUGUGCUUUAAGUGAAAGUUUACAAAUCAAGUCAGUCUCUCAUACAAAAAUUUAUAUACGCCUUGCUGUAUACUCCUAGUUGCUCUCUCCCUAAUAAGACAGCACACUACUUCCCUCCACUCUCUCUUUUCCUGAAAAUUUGGCCAGCUUCUGACCCCCUCUGCCCUCUCACCUCUCCUCCAGGCGAGAGCUGCCCACAUAGUCUCAUGUGUCUGUUUGAUCCAAGAAGCUCACUGUUUACCAGUAUCUUUUUCUGUUCCAUAGUCCAGUCCAAUCCCUGUCUGAAGAGUUGGCUUUGGGAAUGGUUCCUGUCUUGGGGUAGCAGAAGGUCUGGGGACCAUGACCUCUGGGGUCCCUCUAGUCUCAGUCAGACCGUUAAGUCUGGUCUUUUUACAAGAAUUUGAGGUCUGCAUCCCACUGCUCUCCUGCUCCCUCAGGGGUUCUGUGUUGUGUUCCCUGUCAGGGCAGUCAUCAGUUGUAGCUGGGCACCAUCUAGUUCUUCUGGUCUCAGGCUAAUGUAGUCCCUGGUUUAUGUGGCCCUUUCUGUCUCUUGGGCUCAUAAUUACCUUUGGUGUUCUUCAAUCUCCUUUGCUCCAGGUGGGUUGAGACCAGUUGAUGCAUCUUAGAUGGCCACUUGCUAGCAUUUAAGACCCCAGAUGCCACUCUCCAAAGUGGGAUGCCAAAUGUUUUCUUAAUAGAUUUUAUGAUGCCAGUUGACUUAGAUGUCCCCUGAAUGACCAUGGUCCCCAAACCCCCACCCCUUCUAUGUUGCCCUUCGAAGUGUUCAGUUUAUUCAGGGUAUAGAAUUUUAUUAGAAUGAUUAAAACUGCCAAAGUCAAGUGUGUCUCUUUGUUUGGGCCAUUAAAGAUAGUUUGUAGACUCUGUUUUGGGAUUUUAUAGCCCAAGGGAGCUGCUAAUUUUUUACUCUCAGUGGGUUUUUAGUAGAGUGAUGUAAAUGUUUUUUGUUAUUGUGAUCCUUUUCAGUCUAUCCUCUCACAAAACUAUAAAUGCAAACUACUUCUGCAGAAUUUUUUUUUUAAUGCUGUUGUAGUCAGCUGCUGUUGAGUUGGCCAGACAGUAUGACAGCGCUCUGUGUAACUGAGCACAUCAGUGUCUGGACCUGUGCCAUCUGCAUGAUCUCUUUCGGAUAGGACAGUGUUCCAUUGUGAUCCAAAGGGUUUUCACUGGCUGAUUUUUGGAAGUAAAUCACCAGGCCUUUUUUCCUAAUCCAUUUUAGUCUGGAAGCUCUGCCAUUUUAAAGGCUAGUGGAUAUUAAACGUGUCAUUAAUAUUUUUGUAGUAAGUAGGUAGUGCUUAAAAUGUUAUUUUAAUGUAGUAGUCUGCUGAGUUGCGUAAUAAUGAUACUGUUCAAGACCCACCUUCUGUAAAGGCUCCAGCCCUACCCCAGACUGAUGGCUUUUCACCCUCUGCGCUUAAACAUUAUCAUAGAUUGUUAAUGUUCUUUAGCUUCUUUAUGGUGUAAGCUUUAUCCUAUCAAGACUGUGAACAUUUGUGUGAAAGAUUCUGUGUCAAUGUAUUUUCAUUUUUCUUGGGUAUAUACCUAGGAGUGGAAUUGCUGGGUCAAAUGGUAAUUCUAUUUAACUUUUUGAGAAGCUGCUAGACUGUUUUCGAAAGUGGCUGUAUCAUUUUACGUUUCUACCAGCCAUGCACAGGAUUCCAGUUCCUCCGCAUCUUCACCAAUACUUGUUAUUAUCUGUUUUUUGAUUAUAGCCAUCCUAACCAACCAACCAGUUUCAGUGGAGUUGAGUUCAACUCAUGGUGACCCUGUGUGUGUCAGGAGAGCAUAGCUGGCCUAACCCAAUUGCUGUCGAGUCAUUUCUGAUUCACGUUGACCCCACGUGUGUCAGAGUAGAACUGUGCCCCAUAGGGUUUUCAAUAGCUGAUUUUUGGAAGUAGAUCACCAGGCCUUUCUUUCAAGGUUCCUCUGGGUAGACUCAAAUCAUCAGUGUUUUGGUUAACAGUAAGCUCGUUAACCAUUUACACUACCAGGGACUCUGUAACUCUCCUACCCGUUGCUAUUGAGUUGAUUCCAACUCAUAGCGACCCUAUAGGAGGGAACAGAACUGCCCCAUAGGGUUUCCAAGGAGCGGCUGGUAGAUUCCAACUGCUGACCUUUUGGUUAGCAGCCUUAGCUCUUAACCACUGUGCCACCAGGGUGCCCUAAUGGGUGUGAAAUGAGGCAUUAGUUGGUUCAGUGGUAGAAUUCUCACUUCGCAUGCAGGAGACCCAGGUUUUAAUUCCCAGCCAGUGAACUUCAUACACAGCCACAACCAGUCAAUUAAUGGAGGCUUGCAUUUUGUUAUGAUGCUGAACACAUUUCAGCAGAGCUUCCAGACUGUGGUGGACCAGGAAGAAAGGCCUGGUGAUUUACUACUGAAAAUUAGCCAAUGAAGAGAUCACAAUGGAACAUUGUCUGACCUGUAAGCUAUCAUGGGAAUGGUGCGGGACUGGGCAAUGUUUCAUUCUGUUGUGCAUCAGGUCACCAUGAGUUGGGGCUGACUUGAGGGAGUUGCAUUUCCCUGAUAGCUAAUGAUGUUGAACAUUUUGUUAUUAUGUGUCUUUUUAAUUUUAGCCCUACUAGUGAAUAUAAAGUGGUAUCUAAUUAUUUUCAUUUGCAUUUUCUUGAUGGCUGAUAAUGUUAAAUAUCUUUUCAUGGGCUUAUUGGCCAUUUUAUGGGCAUAUUUGGUUUAUUGGCAUAAACAUUGAUACCCUAGGUAUUAGUGAGCUGAAGUGAGCUGGUAUUUCAAAUGGUCUACUAUGCUGGGAAUGACAACUUGAAGAGGAAUGGCAUCACAUUCAUCGUCAGAACAUUUCAAGAUCUAUCUUGAAGUACAGUGCUGUCAGUGAUAGGAUAAUAUCCAUAUGCCCACAAGGAAGACCAGUUAAUACAACUGUUAUUCAAAUUUACACACCAACCACUAAGGCCAAAGAUGAAGAAAUUGAAGAUUUUUACCAACUUCUCUGGUCUAAAAUUGAUCAAACAAGCAAUCAAGAUGCAUUGAUAAUUACUGGUGAUUGGAAUGCAAAAGUUGGAGACAAAGAAGAAGGACUGGUAGUUGGGAAAUAAGGCCUUGGGGAUAGAAACGGUGCUGGGGAUCCCUUGAUAGAAUUGUGCAAGACCAACAACUUCUUCAUUGCAGAUACCUUUUUUCACCAGUAUAAAUGGCGACCAUACAUGUGGACCUCGCCAGAUGGAAUACACAGGGAUCAAAUUGACUGCAUCGGUGGAAAGAGACAAUGGAAAAGCUCAGUAUCACCAGUCAGAACAAGGCCAGGGGCUGACUGUGGAACAGACCAUCAAUUGCUAAUAUGCAAGUUCAAGUUGGAACUGCAGAAAAUUAAAACAAGUUCACGAGAACCCAAGUACAACAUCAGAUAUAUCCCACCUGAAUUUAGAGACCAUCUCAAGAAUAGAUUUGAUGCGUUGAACACUAAUGACAGAAGACCAGACAAGUUGUGGAAUGACAUCAAGGGCAUCAUAUAUGUUGUGGAAUGACAUCAAGGGCAUCAUACAUGUUGUGGAAUGACAUCAAGGGCAUCAUACAUGAAGGAAGCAAGAGGUCAUUAAAAAGACAGGAAAGAAAGAAAACACCAAAAUGGAUGUCAGAAGAGACUCUGAAACUUGCUCUUGAAUGCAGAGCAGCUAAAGCAAAAGGAAGAAAUGAAGUAAAAGAGCUGAACAGAAGAUUUCAAAAGACUGCUUGAGAAGACAAAGUAAAGUAUUAUAAAGACAUGUGGAAAGAGCUGGAGAUAAAAAACCAAAAGGGAAGAACAUGCUGGACAUUUCUGAAGCUAAAAGAACUGCAGAAAAAAAUUCAAGCCUCGAGUUGCAAUAUUGAAGGACUCUACUGGGAAAAUAUUAAACAAUGCAGGAAGCAUACAGAGAAGAUGGAAGGAAUACACAGAGUCACUGUACCAAAAAGAACUAGUCGAUGUUCAACAAUUUCAGGAGGUAGCAUAUGAUCAGGAAUUGAUGGUACCGAAGGAGAAGUGAAAGCUGCACUGAAAACAUUGGCAAAAAACAAGGCUCCGGGAAUUGAGAUGUUUCAGCAAACAGAUGUAGCGCUGGAUGUGCUCACUCGUUUACGCCAAGAAAUUUGGAAGACAGCCACCUGGCCAACCAACUGGAAGAGAUCCGUGUUUAUGCCUAUUCCCAAGAAAGAUGAUCCAACCAAAUGCAGAAAUUAUCGAACAAUAUCAUUAAUAUCACACACAAGUAAAAUGUUGCUGAAGAUCAUUCAAAAGUGGCUGCAGUAGUGUAUCAAAAGGGAACUGCCAGAAAUUCAAGCUGGAUUCAGAAGAGGACGGGGAUACAGGGAUAUCAUUUCUGAUGUCAGAUGGAUCCUGGCUGAAAGCAGAGAAUACCAGAAAGAUGUUUACGUGUAUUUUAUUGGCUAUGCAAAGGCAUUUGACUGUGUGGAUCGUAACAAACUGUGGAUAACAUUGCAAAGAAUGGGAAUUCCAGAACAGUUAAUUAUGCUAGUGAGGAACCUGUAUAUAGAUCAAGAGGCAGUUGUUCGGACAGAACAAGGGGAUACUGCGGGGUUUAAAGUCAGGAAAGGUGUGCGUCAGGGUUGUAUCCUUUCACCAUACUUAAUUCAGUUUGUAUGCUGAGCAGAUAAUCCAAGAAGCUGGACUAUAUGAAAAAGAAUGAGUCAUUGGGAAGAUUCAUUUUCAACCUAUGAUAUGCAGAUGGUGCAACCUUGCUUGUUGAAAGUUAAGAGGACUUGAAACACUUACAGAUGAAGAUCAAAGACCACAGCCUUCAGUAUGGAUUACACCUCACCAUAAAGAAAACAAAAGUCCUCACAACUGGACCAAUAAGAAACAUCGUGAUAAAUGGAGAAGACAUUGAAGUUGUGUAAGAUUUCGUUUUACUGGGAUCCAUAACCAACACCCAUGGAAGCAGCAGCCAGACAAUCAGAUGAUACAUUGCGUUGGGCAAAUCGGCUGCAAGAGACCUCUUCAAGGUGUUAAAAAGCAAAGAUAACACCUUGAAGACUAAGAUGUGCCUGACCCAAGCCAUGGUGUUUUCUGUUGCCUCAUAUGCAUGCGAAAGCUGGACAAAGAAUAAGGAAGAUGGAAGAAUUGACACCUUUGAAUUGUGGUGUUGGCAAAGAAUAUUAAAAUAUACUAUGGACUGCCAAAAGAAUGAACAAAUCUGUCUUGGAAGGAGUACAACCAGAAUGCUCCUUAGAAGCAAGGAUAGCGAGACUACAUUUCACAUACUUUGGACAUGUUAUCAGGAGGGAUCAGUUCCUGGAGAAGGACAUCAUGCUUUGUAAAGUAGAGGGUCAUCGAAAAAGAGGAAAAUCCUCAACUAGAUGGGUUGACACAGUGGCUGCAACAGUGGGCUCAAGCAUAACAAUGAUUGUGAGGAUGGCUCAGGACUGCACAGUGUUUCUGUCGUACAUAAGAUCACUGUGAGUCGGAACUGACUCAACGGCACCUAACAACACCAACAUUGGCCGUUUGUAUAUUUUCUUUGGAUAUAUGCCUGUUUAGAUCUUCACCAAUUUUUAAAUUGGGUUGCCUUUUAUUAUUGAAUUGUAAUAGUUCUUCUUAUGUUCCAGAUACAAGUCCCUUAUCAGGUAUUUGAUUUGCAGAUAUUUUUUCCCACUCAAUGAAUUGUCUUUUGACUUUCUUGGUGUCCUUUGAAGUGUAAAAGUUUUUAGUUUUGAUGAAGUCCAGUUUAUCUGUUUUUUCUUUUAUUGCUUAUGUUUUUGGUAUCAUAUGUAAGAAAUCAUCGCCUAAUCCAAGGUCCUGAAGAUAUACCCAUGUGUUUUCUUUUAAGAGUUUUAUAGUUUUAGUUCUAUUAUUUAGGUGUAUGAUCCAUACUGGAUUAAUUUUUGUGUAUGGUGUGUUGUAGGAGUCCAACUUGAUUCUUUUGCAUGUGAAGAUGCUAUUGUCCCAGUGCCAUUUGACAAUUUUUCCCCCCACUGGAUUGUCCUGACCUGGCACUCUUGUAGAAAAUAAAAUGUCCCAAAAUGUGAGGGUUUUUUUUCUGGAUUCUCCAUUCUAUCCCAUUGAUCUGUAUGUCUGUGUUUAUGCCAGCAUUAUUCUGUCUUGCAUACUGUUGCUUUAUAGUAAGUUUUGAAGUCAGGGAAGUGUGAGUUAUAAAACUUUGUUCUUUUUCAAUAUUAUUUUGGCUAUUCUGUGUCCUUUGAGUUUCCAUAUGAAUUUUAGGAUCACUUUGCCAAUUUCUGCAAAGAAGUCAGGUGGGAUUUUUAUAGGGGUUACAUUGAAUCUGUAGAUCAAUUUGGGGAAUAUUACCAUCUUAACAAUAGUAAGUCUUCCAAUCCAUGAACAUGGGAUGUUUUUCCAUUUAUUUAAUUCCUUUAAACAAUAUUUUGUAGCUUUCAGAGUAUAAAUUUUACAUUUCUUUUGUUAAAUUUAUUUCUAAGUAUUUUAUUCUUUUUGAUGCUUUUGUUAAUUGAAUUGUUAAUUUAUUUUCCAAGUUGUUCAUUGGAAGUGUAGUUAUCAAUUUAUUUUUUAAUGUACUAACUCCACUAAAGAUAUUCAGAAUAAGUAUAACAUUUAGGAGUGGAAAAAAGUUUUUUUUGUUAGCUUUGAAUAAAAAUUCAGUUUUAAGUUCAUGUUGAUAUAGAAAUCUUUAACACUAUUUCCAUGGAUUUCUUUCUAAUAUUUGUGGCAGAGAGGAGAUGUUAUUUUUGAAUAUAUAACUAUAAAAUCUAUUACAGUAUAGUUUGCUUUUUUAACAUAUGUAUACAAUUCCCCAGUUAUUUUCUUGCCUUAAUUUUCUAAUUCCCUAUUUAGUCAAUAUUUAGAUGAAUGAACUGGAAAUCAUAUUACUACUAUAGAAAGAAUGGCACAAUGGAAUCCCAUGUACUUAUCACCUAGUGUCAACAUUGACUAGCUCAUGGCUCCUACCUCCUAGAUUAUUUUGAAGCAAAUAUCAGACAUUGUGUCAUUUCAUCUAUAAAUUAAUGACAUAGUUUUAUGAGAUUUAUUCUUUGUAACUAUUUUAUAUUGCAACAGAACCUGCUAUAAUUGACUUUACUUUAGGAGAUAAUUAAUUCAUUAAUUUAUUUUUAUUUUGAUACACAGGAGUCCAGGUGUUAUGUAAAAUGGAUGUUUCUCACACUAGAUACUGAAUACUAAGUAGAAAGUCUAGUUAGCAAAAUCUGAGCUGCCAUGGAAGAAAUACCAGUAAAAGUUGCUGUAAGAAUUAGACCUCUGCUUUGCAAAGAAGUUCUUCAUAACCAUCAAGUGUGUGUGAGAGUUAUUCCAAACACUCAGCAAAUUAUCAUCGGGAGAGAUAGAGUCUUUACUUUUGAUUAUGUUUUUGGCAAAAGUUCCACUCAAGAUGAAGUUUAUAAUACGUGCAUAAAGCCGCUAGUGUUGUCACUCAUUGAGGGCUAUAACGCAACAGUUUUUGCCUACGGACAGACUGGAUCUGGGAAGACGUACACCAUCGGGGGAGGCCACGUUGCUUCAGUUGUAGAAGGUCAAAAAGGUAUCAUUCCUCGUGCUAUACAAGAAAUAUUUCAAAACAUCUCUGAAAAUUCUAACGUCGACUUUACUAUAAAAGUAUCUUACAUAGAAGUGUACAAGGAAGAACUAAGAGAUCUUCUAGAAUUGGAGACAUCCAUGAAGGAUCUUCACAUCCGAGAAGAUGAAAAAGGAAACACAGUGAUCGUUGGGGCUAAGGAGUGCCUGGUGGAGAGCGCGGAUGAUGUGCUGAGUCUCCUAGAGAUGGGGAACGCAGCCAGACAUACAGGAACCACCCAGAUGAACGAGCACUCCAGUAGAUCACAUGCCAUUUUUACCAUCAGCAUUUGCCAAGUGGAGAAGAAUAUGGAGGCAGCUGAAGAUGGAUCUUGGCAAUCCCCUCAGCAUAUUGUUUCAAAGUUCCACUUUGUGGAUUUGGCUGGAUCAGAAAGGGUAACCAAGACGGGGAACACGGGUGAACGGUUCAAAGAAUCCAUUCAAAUCAACAGUGGGUUGCUGGCUUUAGGAAAUGUAAUAAGCGCUCUUGGGGACCCACGCAGGAAGAGUUCACAUAUUCCAUACAGAGAUGCUAAAAUUACCCGGCUUCUGAAAGAUUCUUUGGGAGGCAGUGCCAAGACUGUCAUGAUCACGUGUGUGAGCCCAUCCUCCUCUGAUUUUGAUGAGUCCUUAAAUUCUCUCAAAUAUGCUAACAGAGCCCGGAACAUUAGAAACAAACCCACUGUAAACUUCAGCCCUGAAUCAGACCGUAUGGAUGAAAUGGAAUUUGAGAUUAAGUUGCUUCGAGAAGCUUUGCAAAGUCAACAGGCUAGUACCAGCCAGACUAGCCAGACCCAUUCAGAGGGGACUCCUGAUAAAAACAGGAUCCAUUCUCUUGAGGAGCUAGUAGUCCAGCUACAAGGAGAAUGUCUGGGUUACCAAAAUUGUAUAGAAGACGCCUUUACCUUCUUGAUGGACUUAAAAGAUGGUGUCAGACUAAACCAAAAGCAGCAACACAAACUUCAGGAGUGGUUUAACAUGACCCAGGAGGUGAGGAAGGCAGUGCCCACCUCAUUCAGACACCGAGGCUUUGGAAACAUGGAAGAAGGACCACAGCAUAUUACAGUUCUCCAACUGAAGAGAGAGCUUAAGAAAUGCCAGUGUGCUCUCGCUGCCGAUGAAGUAGUAUUUAAUCAGAAGGAACUGGAAGUGAAGGAGCUAAAGAAUCAAGUGCAAAUGAUGGUGCAGGAGAACAAAGGACAUGUUAUGUCUUUGAAAGAAGCACAAAAAGUGAAUAGAUUGCAGAACGAAAAAAUAAUAGAACAACAACUUCUUGUGGAUCAGCUGAGUGAAGAACUAACAAAACUUAACCUGUCAAUGACUUCUUCAGUGAAGGAAACUUGCGGAGAUGGGCCAGAUGCCAGGAUACCUGAAAAGAGACCGUUUACUGUACCAUUUGAUAAUCAUUUGGGGCAUUAUAUUUACAUCCCAGCAAGACCAGAUUCCAGGAAGGUCUACACGAGUCCUCCCAUGUGCUCUCUGGACCGAGUAGUUGCGGGGUUUCGAACACGAAGUCAGAUGCUGUUGGGUCAGCUAGAAGAACAGGACGAAGUCCUGCACUGCCAGUUUUCUGAUAAUAGUGAUGAUGAAGAAGCCGAAGGCCAGGAGAAACCUGGAGUUAGACAAUGUAGAAGUCGCCCAUGGAUUCAAAAGCCAGGCCCUGUUUGUUCUCUUGUGGAAUUAAAUGAUAUUCCGGAUCAAACACACAAGUCUACCUCGGCAAAUGAAGAUGUAAAACUUGAAUGUCUCCAGGAAAGUCAAGAGUUAAAUUUGCAAAAAUUAAGGAAGUCCGAACUCUUACUUACUGAAGCCAAGCAAAAAAUGAGAGAACUUACAAUUAAUAUCAAGAUGAAGGAAGAUCUGAUUAAAGAGUUAGUAAAAACAGGUAAUGAUGCCAAGUCUGUAAGCAAACAGUAUUCUCUGAAAGUAACAAAACUAGAGCAUGAAGCAGAACAGGCGAAAGUGGAGUUAACUGAAACGCAAAAGCAGCUACAGGAACUGGAAAACAAAGAGCUUUCUGACGUUGCCUUGAAGGUAAAGUUACAGAAGGAGUUCCGUAAAAAGAUGGAUGCCGCAAAGCUAAAAGUCCAGGUUUUGCAGAAGAAGCAACAGGACAGUAAGAAAUUGGCAUCACUGUCGAUCCAAAACCAGGAACGUGCUAACGAACUAGAGCAGAAUGUAGAUCACAUGAAAUAUCAAAAGGCACAGCUGCAAAGAAGACUUCGAGAAGAGAAUGAAAAAAGAAAGCAACUGGAUGCAGAAAUUAAGCGGGAUCAACAAAAAAUCAAAGAACUACAGUUAAAAACAGAACAAGAAGAAGGUCUAAAACUGAAAGCUGAGGACCCCGAUGAAUUUAAUAUGAAAAGGAGAAAAGGACCAUUUGGAAGUAUAGGCCAGCUCCAGAAAUUGGAUGAGCAAAAGAAAUGGUUAGAUGAAGAAGUUGAAAAAGUUCUGAACCAGCGCCAAGAGUUAGAGGAACUGGAAGACGACUUAAAGAAACGGGAGGCCAUAGUUUCUAAGAAGGAGGCCCUGUUACAGGAAAAGAGCCACUUGGAAAAUAAGAAGUUGACUUCUAGUCAGGCCUUAAACAAAGAUAGUUUGAGAAUAUCGACUCGCCUAAACUUGUUGGACCAAGAGUUGUCUGAAAAAAGUGUGCAGCUCCAGAGCAGCACAGCUGAGGAGAAAAUUGAGAUUUCUGAACAAGUUCAAGCCCUCCAGAAGGAAAAGGACCAGUUACAGAGACGAAGAAACAGUGUGGAUGAGAAACUUAAAAAUGGUAGAGUGUUGUCGCCUGAAGAAGAACAUGUUCUUUUCCAACUCGAAGAAGGAAUUGAAGCUUUGGAAGCUGCGAUUGAAUACAAGAAUGAAAGUAUCCAGAGUCGCCAGAACUCGCUUAGAGCUUCGUUCCAAAACCUCUCUCACAGUGAAGCAAAUGUCUUGGAAAAACUAAUUUGCCUGAAUCCUGUUGAGAUCAGAGCGAUUCUUUUCAGAUAUUUCAAUAAGGUGGUUAAUUUGCGAGAAGCUGAACGGAAACUACAGUUACAGAAGGAAGACAUGAAGACGAAGGUGCUGGAACAGGAUAAUGUGGUUCGUGAGUUGGAAUCCGCACUCGAACAUCUGAAACUGCAGUGUGACCGGAGGCUCACCCUCCAGCAAAAGGAACACGAGCAAAAGAUGCAGUUGCUCUUAGAGCAUUUGAAAGAGCAAGAUGGGGAAGGCAUUGUGGAAACUUUAAAAACCUAUGAAGGUAAAAUCCAGGAGCUGGAAAAAGAUCUUUAUUUCUAUAAGAAAACCAGCAGGGAUCUUAAGAAGAAACUGAAGGAACUGAUAGGGGAAGCGAUUCGGCGGCAGCUGGCACCAUCAGAACAUCAUGAUGCUGGAGAUGGAGUCCUGAACCCAGAAGAAGCAGGCAUGCUUUUGGAAGAAUUAAAAUGGACAUCUGGAACUGAAAAUAUGAAAUUAAGUGGGAAAGAAAAAGAAAUAGACAGUUCAGCAAGCAGUUUAAGGACACAACCAAAUCCUCAGAAGCUUUGGGAAGAGGGCUCAGAAUUCCCUCCAAUUCAUAGCUCUCUAGCACCCACUAGUGGGCAUUUGUUAAGCAAUGAUGAUAAAAUAGAAAUAGAUGAAAAUCAGUUUACAAAAUCUCACUGUCGACCAUCACCCCAAAUUCAGUCAGUGGGAAAUGUGGGACAACUUCAUGGAGUCACGCCUGUAAAGUUGUGUCGCAAAGAGUUACGUCAGAUUUCUGCCUUGGAACUCUCCUUACGCCGCUCCAGUCUUGGAGCUGGGGUUGGAUCGAUGACUGCUGAUUCCCUUGAACUAUCUAGGAAACCGAGUGACUUAAAAACUUAAGUACUUAAUAACAGCAUUUCUAACUUGGUAGAUACGUAAAAAGAUUCCUUUUUCUAAUCUGUUAAAAAUUAAAGCUUAAGCUGACUGGUUCUUCCCUCAGGAUAAAGAAAGGAAGGAAGGAACCCCUAAGCCUUUUGCAUACUGUAGAUGUGUUCGUCUUCCAUGGUGUAUUUGGGGAGUUUUUGUUUAUAUUUCCAUAAUAACUAAAGGAACGCCUUUUCCAAUAAUUGAUAACAUUUAAAUGUUUCCAUUUAUAAGAUUGAUUAAAAUUUUUUUUCAGGCGUUACUUGAAGAACAGAGCUGCUAAGAGUAGAAUAAUCCAUCAAAUGUAUAGUUACAUUACUCUUACUCUCAAAUAUAUUUUUGUUAUUUUUUACAAGGAGAUAACCAACUACUGCUGUAUCAGGGAGAGUCACCGGCUGCAUGUCCUUUGGCACAGCUGAAAAUCUGUGCCCAAAUGCAGUCUGUGGGCUAAGGCAACUCGCUAGGUUUUUGGAUUAAGGUUAAUUUAAGUUCUUCGGAGCCCACAGAAGUUGUGUGCCCAGUCUUUUUAAACCUGGUAUUUGCCUUUUUUCAAGAAUUACUUUUUAUUUAUGUUAUACUGUUUGCUUGCUAAUAUUAUGGAAUAUAAGUUUUCAUCUCUCCUGCCCUACCUACUCAACAUAUCUAUUAUGCUACUAAAAUUGAGGGAAAUGGAUGCGAUUCAGUGGAACAGGGAAAUAAUUUUAGAAUAACAUUAAAGCAGUCUAACAGUUCAAGGAAUGAACGCUGGUGGUGACAUGAUUUGGUUACGUGGAGUACACCCGUGGAACUUGAAAUCUAGCUAGAGGGUCUUUAGCUAAUAAGUGGAUGGAUUAAAAUCUGAGAUUUUCCUCUACAGCCUGCUUAGUCACUGUGGUCCCUUUGCAAACAGGCAGGCUGAACUACUUUGGAGCUGUAAAUAUGUGAUGGAAUUUUUGCUAAAAUUUUCCUUAAAGUUUUUUUUUUUAAUCUAAAUCUUAUUAUAUAAUGCACAUGUUAGUUUGGAAUUAAGAACUGAACAUUGAUUUGCUCACCAAAUACAAUUUGUGCUUUUUCUUCUUAUUUUUUGAUCACAGGUAACAUCCUAUUAUAAUGACCUUCAAAACUGAGGUAUUACUUGGUUAUUUUUCCACACUUUCAUUUGUAAGCCAAAGCUGAGUUUCUUAAACUAAUUAACGUGUGGGUGCGGGAGUAACAAAGCCACUCUGAUCAAUGGAUGCCUACUCAACCAGUCACCCGCUUCCUUGCUGAAUGCCUAUUUUCUUAUCUAAUGCUGCUCCUGGAUUUUUCUUUUGCCCUUUCCUCUACUGCUGUUGACCCUGACUGUCUUACCUAAGACCCAAACUAUCGCCCUGUGCUCAGACUUAAGGCUUCCUUUUUAUAACUUCUAGCCCCUGAGGAGUAGGGUUCUCACCUCACUGCUAAAACCUAGUUCUUAUAGGAAAACAAAAUAAAUGAACUUCUAAAUUGGUGAAUAGUUUUUGUGUCUAUUAAGCAUGGUACUAAAAUUCAUUUAAAUUGUCAUUUAAAUGGGUUUAAAUUAUGGACUUACCUGGGAACUGAACCACACUUUGUAACACUGGCCUAAUAAAAAACUGUUUCCUAAGUUUCAAACAAGUAAUUUGAAAACUCACUUGGAAAUUUUACUUUUAAUAGGAACUCUUUGAGGUCAGAUACUGGUUUUCAGCUAGUUUUCCUCUUUCUGCUUUUGACCUUUGGUUUGUAUGAUAUAUGAUAUAUACGUAUAUGUUUAUAUAUACAGCAUAGCAAAAGGCCAGUGCUUUCAACAAAGUACAGCAAUUAUUUAUUAAUAAAUACACAUUUAUUAAUGAAGGUUCUAUUUGUAAAUUGCUUCUAAGCGUAAGUAAUAUGCUAUGCCUUGAUUAGAAAAUAUUCAUAAAAGAAUCUAUUCUGACACUGGAAUCCUGUUUGCCCAGGAAAUUGACAAAUAAUUGUUUUACUUGUAGAAAUAUAAACACAUUUACUAAAAACCAAUUCACUAACAAAACAAAAUUUAUAUCAAACCAACAAUGAUCACAUUUAAUAAAUAUGAACUGGGUUUUAAAUAGCAAAGGUACUAUUUCUUCUUCCUUUUGGUUGAAUAUAUAUAUAUCCUUCAUAGGCUAAGAUUUCAUACCCAUACGCAAACACAUGCAAUAUAAAUAAUGUGCUGAAUUACAUAUUCUAAAAGGGCAUUCUGGUUUAGUCAGUGCCCUCACAAAGGUAAGAACAGGAUACCUCCCCCAAGGCAAGUCAAAUUAUUUCUUUACGUAUACUAAUUAUAGAUAUUAUUCUUUUUCACAUGCUGUCCUUACUUAGUCUAAACAUUUUGUCACUGUGUUUGCUUUUUUGCAUGUAUAUAAAAUGUUUUGUACUUUUCUUUUUUUGUUUAUGAUGUUUUUUCUCUCCACCUGUAACAGCAUUUGAAAGGAAAAAUACUUGCUUCUGUAAAGUACUGCUUCCCUCCAGAACUCUAGAGUGUUACAGACGACAGAGCUGUAGAAUUCUAAUUUUCCUCAGUGAAGAAACAGAAUUGCCACUAUUUGAAAUGUUAGCAGUAUAAUUUGAUUGAACCCAAAGAUAUUGAAUUAGAUUUACACAUUAUAAUCUACUGGGUAUAACACACAGCUCUACUGAGUAAUCUCUACAGUACUUUAAGAGAAAAAUAUAACAAUCUCACAGACUUUGUUACAAUGAGCAAGAUCCCCAUAUGCCCAAGGAACAAAACUAUACACAACAGAGAAGAGCAGAGAACUAUUUAAACAUUUAAAACAUUUUAUACUUAUGAUUCUUGGAAAUUUAAAACUCCAUUUAGCAUUUAUAUUUGUGUUAAUUAAAGCAGAACAAAAGAAACGUAUUUUUAAAGCUAUAUUUGGAUAAACCCGUUGUCAUCAAGUCAAUUCCAACUCAAAUCGACCCUAUGAGUCAGAAUUGACUCGAUGGCCAUGGUUUUAUGCAAAUGUAGUUUUAAAAUACAUUUCUUUUGUUCUAUUGUGUAAUUAUUGUUUCAAACUUGUUACAGUAUGUACAAAGCAAGGUGUAAUUUUCGAGUCUAAAGUAGUAAAUAUUAAUAGAAUUUAUUUGAUUCAAGGCAUUUCAUUUUUAAAAGAACCACUUUUGGACACCCAUCCCCAAAUUACAAACAAUUAUAGACAUGGGCUUACUUACCCUCCCCAAAAUGUUCCAGGAUUCAAAAUAGCUCUGAUAAGACAGGUGAUUCAGGAAGGCAGGCGGGGGAGGGAGGAAGAGAAAAAGGUUUAUUUGAAAACAUUCCAAAGACCAGCAAAGAAUUUUCAAAAUUAUUUUGAGAGAAUAGAUUUUAUUUCUCUGGCAAAAAAAGAGAAACUUAACUUUAACCUUUGGCUACCUCUAAACCCUAAGGAAUAGUAUCAAACUUGGCAACGGAAAAUAUACAUCCCAGUUUUUGUACUGGUUCCUUUUUCUACGAUUACUGUUAGUAAAGGAUUAUAUAAAAAUGCCAUACUAGGCAGAACUGGAGUGGAAAUUGUGGAGCCAUUCAGUAGAGAAUUACAAGAAACAGUAGUUUUAAACAAAUCCCAACUUCCUAACAACACAAAUGGAAGACAGCAGUUAAGACUAUACCAAAUAGAAGAACCAUAAAUGGGAUGCCAAAACAAAUACACAAAAAAUGAGCAAACAUUGUGGCCAAAACUGACAGGACUAGUCUUUAUAACGCCAUGCUAUCUCAAACCUUUUGCUUAGUUUUUCUCUGCUAAAAUAUUCCUGAAAAUUUCUACUGAAAAACCUCUGGAUAAAAGACUCCCAUUCAUGAUUACAAACCAGCAAUUAUUGGUCCUCCUUGACAGGAUGAAUUGACGUUACUCAUUUUGGUUCAUGGCCUGCAGUGGCAUUUCACUAUUCUACCACGUAGGGGUGAAAGGAGUGAGACGCAUUUACCUGUAUUCGAAUGAUUUACAAUUUUGAUAAUUUGUAAGUGUUAAAAUUAUCAACAUUUUUGUUACUUUCUAGCAUGAUUGUCUUUUCUUGAUGGAAAGAGUGGGAAUGGGCAAAGUAUUUUUAUAGUGAAGGGCCAAACCCUUUUUGAAAUUCCCAUCACCUGGGGGUUGGACAGCAUCUGAAUCGUUCGGUUGGCUAGGCCCAUCUGUUUCACUGGACAUUUUCCAGCUAGCACAAGGUGUCACUGGACAUGAGUGGAAUAACCAAGGUUAAUAUCUUAUUAAUGGAGUACAUCAAAUAAAGGUAUUUUCUGAAAUACCCAACAGACUAAAACAGCAAUGUCUGAAUCACUCUCUUGCAUUUUAAAUCAAAAUAAUAUUUUUCAAAUACAUCUCAAGGUUUUUUUUUUAACAAAUUAAUCAGGAAGAAACUGUGGUUUUUACUAUACGGUAAACGGCCUGUUGCUUUAUUGAAUAAACACAUGCAUUUUGAAAACAAAAGCAUCAUGUAUCUUUAAGAUGAAUUCAUUAUAAAGUAGAUUUUUCAUAGAGUUGGUGGCCAAAAUGGGAUGACUCUGUGGCACAAAUAUGUGUGCUUAUUUUAUAUAUAUCAUAAAUUAAAAAAUUAAUUCUCAGUUUUAGUUAUAUAUGCUAGGAACAGUAAAAGUAACAUUCUCUGGGAAGUUUCAUGAGAAUUUUAUUCUCAGUGUUUUAAAGACUUAGGGAAUCAUUCUUUUUAGGCAUUCUUAAGAAGUGUUUCAUGACUAGUCCUUUGAUGUAUGAAUAAAGUAACUAUGUUGUUAUUGGGUUUCUGGCUACCAAUUUUUGGCUAUUUUUACUUCUUUCUUUAGUAAGAAUUACAUUUAUGAGUUACUGAUGAAAUGUGGGUAGAAAACAACUUUUCUUAAAACUGAGAAUGGUUUCCAUUUGGCAAUCACAAAAAUAUUUCAAACUCUAAAUUUUUUCCCCAAGGAAACUAUGUAAAAUAAUAAUUUUUGGUACUGUAGUCCUGGUGGCGCACUGGUUAAGAGCUUGGCUGCUAACCAAAGGGUUGGCAGUUCAAAUCCACCAGCCGCUCCUUGGAAACCAUAUGGGGCAGUUCUGCUGUGUCUUAUAGGGUCACUGUAAGUUGGAAUCGACUCAACAGCAGCGGUAUAGGUAGAUCAAAUUAACAGCAAAGUCAGUCUUCACUUGGCAUUUGAUACUCUUAACCACCAUAUACAAGAAGCCUAUUAGAACUAAAUCCGACAUUACCAUGGUGGCGUCUCCUUCAUAAGCAUUAAAGGGAAGCUCGUUUCCCCUAGUUUGUAAAUAUCUGCCAACAUUAAGGUGGUGGUUGUUAGUGCCCUGCUCAUGGAGAUACCACACGCAACGGAAUGAAACUGCCCAGUCCUGCAUCAUCCUCAUGAUCAGUUGCAGACUGGUCCACUGUGAUCCAUAGGGUUUUCAUUGGCUGAAUUUUGGAAGGAGACCACCAGGCUUUUCUUCCUAGUAUGUCUUAGACUGGAAGCUCCACAGAAACCUGUUCAUCAUAGCAACACACAAGCUUCCACUGACAGAGGGGUGAGAUAUACUUUUGUCUCUUUUAGAUCGAAGUACCCUGAACUGAGCAGGCAAGUAACCAAAGAGAAGGCCAAGACUCUAAGUGUCACGGAACUUACAAUCAGAAGAAUUCUAGUGGAUUGUGAACAAAUAAAUCAGGAAGAGAAAAUAGUAAUACACGCUUUUUCUGAGUUACCUUCAGUAGCACUAAUGUCCUCUUAAUAAGGUUUAUUACAAAGUUAAGUAUUUCCCAUAAGAAGAGAAAUUAGGUGCAGUGACCUGAUUGUGUGAGUUCAGUUGGCCAAGCCACAGCAAAGCGAACACCCUUCAGGACCAGGGCCAACAGCCACAGCACAGCGAGCACCCUUCAGGACCAGGGCCAACAGCCACGGCACAGCGAGCACCCUUCAGGACCAGGGCCAAUAUCCUGGGGUUUACCUAUAGGGUUGCUAUGAGUCAGAGUCGACUCGACGACACUGGGUUAGUUCUUUCAUACGGGAAAGUCUAAUCCUCUUUUAAAGGGUGAGCUGGUAGCUAAAGUUACCUAUCUUCUGAAAACAUCACAAGAAUGGCAUGUAUAGAUGACAGGUAAAAUUUGUAGAUUUUAGAUUUAUAGGCGUUUUUCCCAUAUUGUCUAUUAAUCUUUUAUUAUAUAUCAUUAAGCUUCUGUAAGUACCAUACCAGAUGGCUGAUCUUAAAAUUUAUGCAUAGUACAGUGGAACUCUCAAACGUGUGUGGAUUUUGUACUAUUGUUAAAUUAGAUAUGCUUAUUAAACAUUUUCUCUGAUUUCAUUAAAAUAUU